rnacentral:misc_RNA from 1 species
UGAGUGGUGUUUGGUUUGUUACGUGUGGUUGGCUGCGGCGUUUGCAACAACUUCCAUGCUUUCAGACCUCUUCAGUUGUGCGGCAAGGCUUGUAUCGCCUUGAGCGUAUUGUGGGUUUUCUGUGUUGGCUACCUAAUCAAUGGUAUCGGUUGGAUUGAUCAAAGUUUCAUUUCGUCUACCGUCGCAUUCGCGGCGUGAGAUGAACCUUGAUGCGGUCUCUUUGAUCCACCUCGUCGAAGCACAUGCUUUGACGUUGUGGCACAUUGAGCAUUGCUUGGUCUCUUGUAUACGGAACAUAUAGUGGGCAUGGAUCUAACGAUUCUUGUUUGCCCUCAUAUUAGCGUAACGCUUCUCUUACACGACUUGCUCCACGUUUUAGCUCGUACGGACGUGGUGCUAUGUCGAAGAGGAAUGCUACCUGGUUGAUC